AAGAUUUAAAAAGAUCGAACGACGACACUGACUUCGAGCCGACCAGUUGCUUUGUGGCAUCAAGACUUCAUUGCACUGUACGGUUCGAGGCGAAUGUCUCGUUGAAUAAACUACGAAUUUAAU
rnacentral:precursor_RNA from 11 species